CCUUAGUAGCGCAGCUAACGCGUGAAGUUGACCGCUGGGGAGUACGGUCGCAAGAUUAAAACUCAAAGGAAUUGACGGGGACCCGCACAAGCGGUGGAUGAUGUGGAUUAAUUCGAUGCAACGCGAAAAACCUUACCUACCCUUGACAUGUCUGGAAUCCCGAAGAGAUUUGGGAGUGCUCGCAAGAGAACCGGAACACAGGUGCUGCAUGGCUGUCGUCAGCUCGUGUCGUGAGAUGUUGGGUUAAGUCCCGCAACGAGCGCAACCCUUGUCAUUAGUUGCUACGAAAGGGCACUCUAAUGAGACUGCCGGUGACAAACCGGAGGAAGGUGGGGAUGACGUCAAGUCCUCAUGGCCCUUAUGGGUAGGGCUUCACACGUCAUACAAUGGUCGGGACAGAGGGUUGCCAACCCGCGAGGGGGAGCUAAUCUCAUAAACCCGAUCGUAGUCCGGAUUGCAGUCUGCAACUCGACUGCAUGAAGUCGGAAUCGCUAGUAAUCGCGGAUCAGCAUGUCGCGGUGAAUACGUUCCCGGGUCUUGUACACACCGCCCGUCACACCAUGGGAGUGGGUUUCACCAGAAGUAGUUAGCCUAACCGCAAGGGGGGCGAUUACCACGGUGGGAUUCAUGACUGGGGUGAAGUCGUAACAAGGUAGCCGUAUCGGAAGGUGC
rnacentral:rRNA from 1 species